UUAUUUAUCUAUUCCCCUCCUGAAGGACAUCUUGGUCGCUUCCAGGUUUGGCAAUUAUGAGUACAAUUUCUAGAAACAUCUGUGGGCAGGUUUUUGUGCGGACCUAAUUGUCCAGCAUGUUUGGGUAAAUACCAAGGAGUGCAAUUGCUGGAUGGUACGGAUGCUGAAGACAAGAAGAAACACACAGUAGGGCUGAAAGUGAAAGGGGGUAUCAGAUUUGCCCUUUCUUUGCUCAGAAACGAGAGACCAG